CUUGAAGAGCUUUUUUCAAUGUCUCUGACGCAUGUUGAGAUCCUUCUAAGUAAAUAUACACUUCAAGCUCUUAUGGUCUAUAUAAAUCUCAAAAGUAUCCUCAUACAAAUAAUGGCCCCAAGUCUUCAAAGCAUGGAUAAUAGCACAAGUUCUAAAUCGUAGGUUGGGUAAUUCUUUUCAUGACUUUUCAACUGUCUGGACCCGUAAACUAUAACCUU
rnacentral:lncRNA from 1 species